UAUACUGCAAGUCGAGCGGAUUGAUGGGAGCUUGCUCCCAUCAGUCAGCGGCGGACGGGUGAGUAACACGUGGGUAACCUGCCUGUAAGACUGGGAUAACUCCGGGAAACCGGGGCUAAUACCGGAUAACUCAUUUCCUCGCAUGAGGAAAUGUUGAAAGGUGGCUUUUAGCUAUCACUUACAGAUGGACCCGCGGCGCAUUAGCUAGUUGGUGAGGUAACGGCUCACCAAGGCGACGAUGCGUAGCCGACCUGAGAGGGUGAUCGGCCACACUGGGACUGAGACACGGCCCAGACUCCUACGGGAGGCAGCAGUAGGGAAUCUUCCGCAAUGGACGAAAGUCUGACGGAGCAACGCCGCGUGAGUGAUGAAGGUUUUCGGAUCGUAAAACUCUGUUGUUAGGGAAGAACAAGUACCGUUCGAAUAGGGCGGUACCUUGACGGUACCUAACCAGAAAGCCACGGCUAACUACGUGCCAGCAGCCGCGGUAAUACGUAGGUGGCAAGCGUUGUCCGGAAUUAUUGGGCGUAAAGCGCGCGCAGGUGGUUCCUUAAGUCUGAUGUGAAAGCCCACGGCUCAACCGUGGAGGGUCAUUGGAAA
rnacentral:rRNA from 1 species